UACGAAGGGGGCGAGCGUUGUUCGGAUUUACUGGGCGUAAAGGGCGCGUAGGCGGCCCUCUCUGUCGCGUGUGAAAGCCCCGGGCUCAACCUGGGAAUUGCGGCGCGAAACGGGGGGGCUGGAGUUCGGGAGAGGAGCGUGGAAUUCCCAGUGUAGAGGUGAAAUUCGUAGAUAUUGGGAAGAACACCGGUGGCGAAGGCGGCGCUCUGGACCGAGACUGACGCUGAGGCGCGAAAGCGUGGGGAGCAAACAGG
rnacentral:rRNA from 1 species